rnacentral:lncRNA from 1 species
AAAAAAGAUAAAUAUAAUGUAAAUUUUUUUACACGGUGAGAGCAUCACCAUUAAACUCAUAUAAAAUAUCUCGCAAAUAUUAAAAAUGAUAUGAUUUGAUUUGAUUUGAUCAUGUGUAAAAAUUAUUAUAUUUUAUUUAAUAUAAUUAAAAAUUACUUUUAAUAAAAAAAUUCUAACAGUAUAAAAUAUUGUGUUCAUAUUUUUUUUCAAACAAAAAUAUCUCUCUUCAAAGCCCAAAACAGUGUCUUGUGUCGUCUUCUCAUCCAAACCCUAAAUUUUAAAUUGUU